rnacentral:rRNA from 1 species
UACGAAGGGGGCUAGCGUUGCUCGGAAUCACUGGGCGUAAAGCGCACGUAGGCGGAUUGUUAAGUCAGGGGUGAAAUCCUGGAGCUCAACUCCAGAACUGCCUUUGAUACUGGAAGUCUUGAGUAUGGGAGAGGUGAGUGGAACUGCGAGUGUAGAGGUGAAAUUCGUAGAUAUUCGCAAGAACACCAGUGGCGAAGGCGGCUCACUGGCCCAUAACUGACGCUGAGGCACGAAAGCGUGGGGAGCAAACAGG